rnacentral:rRNA from 1 species
AUUGAACGCUGGCGGCAUGCUUUACACAUGCAAGUCGAACGGUAACAGGGAGCUUGCUCCGCUGACGAGUGGCGAACGGGUGAGUAACGCGUCGGAACGUGCCGAGUAGUGGGGAUAACGCAUCGAAAGGUGUGCUAAUACCGCAUACGAACUGAGGUUGAAAGUGGGGGACCUUCGGGCCUCACGCUAUUCGAGCGGCCGACGUCUGAUUAGCUAGUUGGUGAGGUAAAGGCUCACCAAGGCGACGAUCAGUAGCGGGUCUGAGAGGAUGAUCCGCCACACUGGGACUGAGACACGGCCCAGACCCCUACGGGAGGCAGCAGUGGGGAAUUUUGGACAAUGGGCGCAAGCCUGAUUCAGCCAUGCCGCGUGUCUGAAGAAGGCCUUCGGGUUGUAAAGGACUUUUGUCCGGGAGCAAAUGCUGGUGGCUAACAUCCACCGGAGCUGAGAGUACCGGAAGAGUAAGCACCGGCUAACUACGUGCCAGCCGCCGCCGUAAUAC